CCCUUCGAUGUUCGGAGCUGCACGCGCGCUACACUGUGGGUGGCAGCAUGUUAGCUUGCCUCGCUCGCAAGAGUGGGGUAAUCGUUUGAAAAUCCCACGUGAUUGGGAUAGGGACUUGUAAUUAUUUCCCUUGAACGAGGAAUCCCUAGUAAGUGCAGGUCAUCAGCUUGCGCUGAUUACGUCCCUGCCCUUUGUACACACCGCCCGUCGCUACUACCGAUUUCGAGUGGUCCGGUGAAGCUUUUGGACUGCGCGUGGCUUCGUGCCGUGUCGCGGAAAGUCAGCUAAACCUUAUCACUUAGAGGAAGUAAAAGUCGUANCA
rnacentral:rRNA from 1 species